CUCCAAGUCGGGUUCGUGCGUGUGAUGGAUAAGCUCAUAGAACAUCCUUAAUUUACUAGGGGUAUCAGUCGUAUAUGCCAUGCUGCGUUUGUUGCAGGUGAAGAGUCGGGGUGAGCAAAUUUGAAAGCGCAUGUUGAUGCCGGGAUGUAUGAUCUAUCUGCUAGUGAUUCUCGUUCAAGCUAUUCCUCAGGUUUGGAUGAUGCUCUGUUGGCCUUCGCUACUAUGGAUUUUUAGGGGUGUUCGUUUGGAUGGAUCGGUUUGAUCUGAUCCAAUCAAGUGAAUCCAAAUAGAUAAAUAAUAAAUAUUUAUUUGGUUUUUUUGGACUAUUCGGUUCUUAUUUUAUAAACCCAAACCAAUCCGAAAUCCAAAAUAAUAGUUCGGUUUUGUUGAAAGCCAAUCCAAAAGUCCGAAUAUCCGAACUACAUAGUCCAAUCCAAAUUGUCCAAUUGGAUAAUUCGAUUUUUUCCGAAUAGUGAACAUUCCUAUGGAUUUUGCAGGUGUACUUCGGUUAGGUCAGCUUAGCAUGGAUGUAGUGAGGGUGUUUUGUGCAUUUGAUGAUCGUAAGGAUGUUACGGGGAUGCUAUGGUGGGUCCUGUUGGAGGGAAUGGUGCUGGUGCGGAUGGUGCGGGAUGGCCAGCGGCCGGUGGUGUUGAAGAUGGUGAUGGCUCCGAUGGUAUUUGAAGCUUUUUAGAGCUUCCCUUCCAGGUGUGAAAAAAUUUGGUGAAGCUUGUUUUCCUUGUUUCUGUUUCCUUUUGUUGCCAAGUAAUUUGUGGCCUUCGAGGUCUUUUAUUAUGUGUGCCCUCGACCUUUCGUGGUAGGGCUUUAUUUAUACAUUAAUCGGCAAUGGUCGUGUUUGCUUCUAUUAGUUUUGGUGCAACCUUGUUAUCUAUGGUUGUUCAUCUUGAUUGUCUCUUUGCAUGGUGUGUGUCGAUCAUCAUACCCUCGUUGGCUUGUGCCAGUGACUCCACAUGAGUUGGAAGCAUUGAGGGUAUAUUGCGAUUGGCUACUCCAAGUCGGGUUCGUGCGUGUGAUGGAUAAGCUCAUAGAACAUCCUUAAUUUACUAGGGGUAUCAGUCGUAUAUGCCAUGCUGCGUUUGUUGCAGGUGAAGAGUCGGGGUGAGCAAAUUUGAAAGCGCAUGUUGAUGCCGGGAUGUAUGAUCUAUCUGCUAGUGAUUCUCGUUCAAGCUAUUCCUCAGGUUUGGAUGAUGCUCUGUUGGCCUUCGCUACUAUGGAUUUUUAGGGGUGUUCGUUUGGAUGGAUCGGUUUGAUCUGAUCCAAUCAAGUGAAUCCAAAUUGAUUUCGGUAUUCAAAACAUAGAACCGAAUAGUCGAAACUAAAUUAAAAUCGGAUCCGAUCCGAUCCAAUUACAAUUCGGCUGGAUCGGUUUUUAUAAUUCGGUUUUCAAAAACCGAAACAUUUUAAAACGACAUAUAAUUAUAAUAUUACCCAAUGUUACACAAGAAGCAAAAGCAAAUUAUAUAGUUGUGAUUUGAAAUUUAAAAACAACUAAUAAGAAGAUAUAUUAUAGUUAAAUAUUUUACAGAUAGAAAACUUUUGAGAGAAAAUGCAUAUUAAUUUUUUUAUCGGGUGAAACGUUUUGAACCUAUUUGAA
rnacentral:lncRNA from 1 species